rnacentral:rRNA from 1 species
AACGAACGCUGGCGGCAUGCCUAACACAUGCAAGUCGAACGAGACCUUCGGGUCUAGUGGCGCACGGGUGCGUAACGCGUGGGAACCUGCACUUAGGUUCGGAAUAACUCCCCGAAAGGGGUGCUAAUACAGGAUAAUGUCUUCGGACCAAAGAUUUAUCGCCUUUGGAUGGGCCCGCGUUGGAUUAGCCAGUUGGUAGGGUAAAAGCCUACCAAGGCGACGAUCCAUAGCUGGUCGGAGAGGAUGAUCCGCCACACUUGGACUGAGACACGGCCCAGACGCCUACGCGAGGCAGCAGUGUGGAAUAUUGGACACUGGGCGAAAGCCUGAUCCAGCAAUGCCGCGUGAGUGAUGAAGGCCUUAGGGUUGUAAAGCUCUUUUACCCGGGAUGAUAAUGACAGUACCGGGAGAAUAAGCUCCGGCUAACUCCGUG